AUUGUUAAACUUUUAAAAAAAAAAUCCUAAAAACUUGGGAAGAAAACCCUCAAUAUUACUCGAACUCGAACUCUCAAACGCAAGCUCUGUUCCGCCGUGGAGCGGAGGAGAUUUCAGGUGAGCAAUCGGCGAUGGCGGAAAACUCUUCGACUCCAGCUUUCGGAAACUUUCGGUUGUUUGGAUCAGCGGAAGAUGAGAAGCCUAAUCUAGGUUUCUCCCUUGGCUUUCUCGACUCUCAACAACCGUCUCUUCCACCUCCACCUCCUUCCCUCGAAGUUCUUUCUUCUGAGGUUUCAUCUUCUGUCAAAUACAAUGUGGAGCCAGUAAGCGUGGGUGGACUUACCUUGUUUAAAGGACGGGUCAGGACUCAGGAGGUUUUCUCCCUGUCCAACUCUGAUUUAGUUCCUGGUACAUAUGAAGGGGGGCUUAAGUUGUGGGAAGGUGCAUUGGAUCUUGUCAAAGCUCUUUGUGAGGAGCUUGAAAAUGGGCAUUUGUCAUUUGCUGGGAAGCGAGUUUUAGAGCUUGGAUGUGGUCAUGGUCUUCCUGGUAUUUAUGCAUGCCUUAAGGAUGCAGCUGCUGUACAUUUCCAGGAUUUCAAUGCUGAAGUACUGAGAUGUCUUACCAUUCCGAAUGUUGCUGCAAACCUUUCAAAAAAAUAUGAAAGUUUGCCAUCUAAUCCAACAGAAUCUGAUGCUGGAUCAGCAGUUCGUUACUUUGCUGGUGAUUGGAGUGAAAUGUAUAAAAUUCUCCCUUUUGCAUCCAACAACGAGGAAAACCUGAGUGGAAAUUGUGAUGGCUAUGAUAUUGUUUUAAUGGCAGAGACAGUUUAUGCUCUUUCUACACUUAAAACUCUAUAUAAGCUUAUCACACAGUGCUUGAGCCGUCCUCAUGGAGUUGUAUACUUGGCUGGAAAGAAACAUUACUUUGGAGUAGGAGGAGGAACCCGGCGCUUUCUAUCUGUGUUAGAAAAAGAAGGUGAAAUGGUUUCCAAACUGAUUGUGGAAGUUGCUGAUGGUUCGUCUAAUGUUAGAGAAGUGUGGAAGCUCUCACUGAAAUAGAGAUUCGAAACCAACCACAACAAAUUCUCUUCUAAAGUCAAAGAAAGAAGUUGAACAGAUGAUGAAUAUGCCUUGUGUGUUGGGUCGGCCUUGCUGGCAUUCAUGGAUGUCAUCGUUUCUUGAUUCAUACUCUAACUGAGUUGAUAUGGUCAAAGAAGAUCAAUCAACAGGUAUGCUUUUUAAGAUGAAAUAUUACGGCGAGUUGGUUCCAAAGUCAGCUUAUUAUAUAGCCCAUCAUCAACAAAAGUUUAGCACAUAGAAUUGAAUCAGGGAGUGCUAACUUGAGCUGUAGUUCAACCUAUUAGAGAUUAUGCCUUAGACUACACGACUAGAGGUUUGAAUUUCCACUGCCACAUGACAGACAUUCAAAUUUCUAAAUGACUAGAAUGGUGGCAGUUUUGCUUUUACUUUUUGAAUCUGUGUAAAAGAAACAAGGUACGUAAGUUCAAUAUUAAAAAAUGAAUAUGCUUGUAGUAGAGGUGAGUGGGGGCGAGCCCUUCAUGAUUUCUUUCCCGUCUUCAAAAUGGAUUUUAGAGUUGGGGUAUAAGUUUAUAUUUGGUAACUUGGUCCUGCUAAGAUCAGUAAUGAGCCCAAUCUAUGUAGUAUGUGUUUGUGUAUAUAUUUCUUGACUGUCUCCAGUAGAUACGUACAUAAAACAAAAAUAAGGGUUAGGUGGGGCAUGAUGAAUGAGGAAGAGGUAGAUGGUGGGGGCACCUCUCACUGGUGGAGCAAACUCAAUGACGAUUGAGAGAGGGCUAAAGCAAAGGGCUUGUAAGAGAAUUGUAUGGUGAUUAGCACCUAGCGUUGAUGGGGUUGACGACUAAGAGGAGGGGGUGGCAACGAAGGGAUACAGCCAAGGUGAAGUGAGCAAGAGAGAAAGACGAAAAGAUCUUGUGGUUGCUAUUGAAUGUAUGAAAAUGAAGGAGAUUAGAGACAAUAAAUAGAUUUUGUAGUUCUGUUCAUGUUAAACUAAUUUCUCCCAUCCAACCUAAUAAUCCAAUUGAAUCAAACUUUGUCA